rnacentral:rRNA from 1 species
AUUGAACGCUGGCGGCAGGCCUAACACAUGCAAGUCGAGCGGAUGAGAGGAGCUUGCUCCUUGAUUCAGCGGCGGACGGGUGAGCAAUGCCUAGGAAUCUGCCUGGUAGUGGGGGAUAACGUUCCGAAAGGAACGCUAAUACCGCAUACGUCCUACGGGAGAAAGCAGGGGACCUUCGGGCCUUGCGCUAUCAGAUGAGCCUAGGUCGGAUUAGCUAGUUGGUGAGGUAAUGGCUCACCAAGGCGACGAUCCGUAACUGGUCUGAGAGGAUGAUCAGUCACACUGGAACUGAGACACGGUCCAGACUCCUACGGGAGGCAGCAGUGGGGAAUAUUGGACAAUGGGCGAAAGCCUGAUCCAGCCAUGCCGCGUGUGUGAAGAAGGUCUUCGGAUUGUAAAGCACUUUAAGUUGGGAGGAAGGGCAGUAAGUUAAUACCUUGCUGUUUUGACGUUACCAACAGAAUAAGCACCGGCUAACUUCGUGCCAGCCGCCGCUGUAACAC